UCAUAAAUAAUUUAUAAAACCAAUCUGAAAGUGAAACAUGUCCUUUUCUCUUAAUUCAUCUGAGAUAUUUAUCUUUCUAUUUAUUACAGAACAAUUAUAUUUAGGGAUGGGCAAAUGUGCUGAAAGUGCAAUUCAUUUGGUAGAAGGAAUAGUCCUGCUGACAUUCGUUUUGGACAAUCGAAUGUUGAUACAAAGGAAAGUCCAUUAAAAUUAGACUCCUUCUGACUCGAGUGUCUGCUUGCUAUCCUUGUCUACCCCAUGAACAAACCAUUGGACUUCCAGCAUAUACCCGCAGAUGGACACUGGCAAAGCACCCCUACUGCAAAUGGACUAUGGUAUUGAAGCAGAGUGUCUGAGGAAGGUGGAGCUCUAAGAGGACAAAGACUGUUCUUAAAGUGAUCAGAGGCCACCCAGAGAUACUUGUGCUGUUCCCAUGUCAUGCUUCACUGUGGAGAGUGUACAGAGCAAGAAACUGUCGGAAAUAUUGGGGGGGGGGGUGCUAGCUAUUCAGGUUGAGAAAUAAAGAUGCAGCAUUGUUUGGGGGUAGAUAGGGGGCUGGUUGGUUCUUUGUGCAGAUAGACCAGUAGUUUGAGGAUGCUGGGAGGUCGACAGAGAGUAUUGGAGGGACCUACCUAUGUGCAGUGACAAAUUGUGCCCUAUUGGCCUAAAAAAAUUAUAGCAGUAAAUGUUAAUACAUUUCUCUACAGUAUUCUCACAUAGAUUCAUGUUAUACUGAAGUAUUAGGUGUAUAUUGUUGUUAACAGAUUUACUAAUUUUCUGUGCUUUUCCUUUUAUGUUAUUCUGUUAGAAUAAAAGAGUGGUAUGUUAGGAUAUAUUAGCAUUACCGACGCCAUUUUGUCUUAGGCAUCCAUUUUGUCUAAGAAUGGUUUAUUAUAACAGCUUAUUAUGUACCAAGAAAUCUGCAGAUGUUAGUAAUACUUGUAUAGCUAGAAUAGCACUGGGAAUGUCCCUGACAAUGUGCUUGGAUGCACUGUUAUUUCUAUAAGAUGUCAAACGGCCUUGAUUUGUGCUGGGCUAGACGCUCAGAUGCACUUUUAUCUAAAACUAGAUAUUUCUAUAGAAAUACUCCCUAACACUCCUCUUUUACCCAAUUAUAUUUUAAUGAGCUUCUUUUGUUCCUGAGAAAGAUGAUGUAGUUAUGAACAUGUCAUUGUUUAACCCUAUAUGCUGUAACCACUGCCUAUAAAAGUAUUGUUCAUCUUAUAAUAAACAGAACAGCUUUAGACUGA